rnacentral:rRNA from 1 species
CCUACGGGAGGCAGCAGUGGGGAAUAUUGCGCAAUGGGCGAAAGCCUGACGCAGCGACGCCGCGUGAGGGAUGAAGGUCUUCGGAUCGUAAACCUCUGUCAGCAGGGAAGUACGGUCCCUGUGCUAAUCAGCAGUGAAUUUACGGUAUCUGCAAAGGAAGCAUCGGCUAACUCCGUGCCAGCAGCCGCGGUAAUACGGAGGGUGCGAGCGUUGAUCGGAAUUACUGGGCGUAAAGCGCGCGUAGGCGGUAUGUCAAGUCAAGGGUGAAAUCCCCGGGCUCAACGGGGGAACUGCCGUUGAUACUGGCAAACUGGAGGGUGGGAGAGGAUAGUGGAAGUCGAGGUGUAGGAGUGAAAUCCGUAGAUAUCUGGAGGAACAACAGUGGCGAAGGCGACUAACUGGCACAUAACUGACGCUGAGGAGCGAAAGCGUGGGUAGCAAACAGGAUUAGAUACCCGAGUAGUC